GGUUAUAGCUCAGUGGUAGAGUGCUUGCUUCACACAUAUGAGGUGCUGGGUUCAAUCCUCUGUACCA
rnacentral:tRNA from 1 species